rnacentral:rRNA from 1 species
CUGGCGGCGUGCUUACACAUGCAAGUCGAACGAUGAACUCUCACUUGUGGGGGGGAUUAGUGGCGAACGGGUGAGUAACACGUGAGUAACCUGCCCUUAACUCUGGGAUAAGCCUGGGAAACUGGGUCUAAUACUGGAUAUUGACUUUACCUCGCAUGGGGUUUGGUUGAAAGCUUUUGUGGUUUUGGAUGGACUCGCGGCCUAUCAGCUUGUUGGUGAGGUAAUGGCUCACCAAGGCGACGACGGGUAGCCGGCCUGAGAGGGUGACCGGCCACACUGGGACUGAGACACGGCCCAGACUCCUACGGGAGGCAGCAGUGGGGAAUAUUGCACAAUGGGCGAAAGCCUGAUGCAGCGACGCCGCGUGAGGGAUGACGGCCUUCGGGUUGUAAACCUCUUUCAGUAGGGAACAAGGCUACACGUUGUGUGGUUGAGGGUACCUGCAGAAGAAGCGCCGGCUAACUACGUGCCAGCAGCCGCGGUAAUACGUAGGGCGCAAGCGUUAUCCGGAAUUAUUGGGCGUAAAGAGCUCGUAGGCGGUUUGUCGCGUCUUGCCGUGAAAGUCCGGGGCUCAACCCCGGAUCUGCGGGGGGUACGGGAGACUAAAUGAUU